GCCAAAUGAACCUGGUUGCAGUGAGAGGUUUCAGCCCCCAUCAGCCAAAUGCUCUUGAGCAGGCCUCAUCUGGAAAAUAAUGACUGUGUCUCAAAGGAUGACGAAGGGGAAUAAAUGAGCAAUGUGUUUCAAUGAGACAGUAUCGGGCCGGUGCAGAGGAUCCAGCAUGUUAUUCUGAAACCCCAGAAGACGCUGCAGCUACCAAAUAGAAGGAGCCUGGAUCCCUGAAUGUCUUCAUGGAACAGAACAUUCUCCUCACUCCAGUCUGUUUGAACCAGAAUAUGACCUGAGCAAGAAAUAAGCCUUAAUUAAUUAUAUUUGACCAUAGAAUUCUGGUGAUAUUUCUAUGGCUGUAAGUCCAUGUUGAUUAAUACAAAGGGAUUCUGUAAAGCCUCUUCUAUUAAAAAAAGUUGCCCAAGGA
rnacentral:lncRNA from 1 species